rnacentral:rRNA from 1 species
CGCACGGGUGAGUAACACGUAUCCAACCUGCCGUCUACUCUUGGACAGCCUUCUGAAAGGAAGAUUAAUACAAGGUGGCAUCAUGAGUCCGCAUGUUCACAUGAUUAAAGGUAUUCCGGUAGACGAUGGGGAUGCGUUCCAUUAGAUAGUAGGCGGGGUAACGGCCCACCUAGUCUUCGAUGGAUAGGGGUUCUGAGAGGAAGGUCCCCCACAUUGGAACUGAGACACGGUCCAA